AAUGGGGGCAACCCUGAUCCAGCAAUGCCGCGUGCGUGAUGAAGGCCUUAGGGUUGUAAAGCGCUUUCGGCGGGGAAGAUGAUGACGGUACCCGCAGAAGAAGCCCCGGCUAACUCCGUGCCAGCAGCCGCGGUAAUACGGAGGGGGCUAGCGUUGUUCGGAAUUACUGGGCGUAAAGGGCGCGUAGGCGGCGAUUUAAGUUAGGCGUGAAAGCCCCGGGCUUAACCUGGGAACUGCGCUUGAUACUGGAUUGCUUGAGGACGGGAGAGGGUAGUGGAAUUCCCAGUGUAGAGGUGAAAUUCGUAGAUAUUGGGAAGAACACCAUUGGCGAAGGCGACUGCCUGGCCCGUUACUGACGCUGAGGCGCGAAAGCGUGGGGAGCAAACAGGAUUAGAUACCCUGGUAGUCCACGCCGUAAACGAUGAGUGCUAGACGUUGGGGAACAUGGUUUCUCGGUGUCGCAGCUAACGCAUUAAGCACUCCGCCUGGGGAGUACGGC
rnacentral:rRNA from 1 species